CAUGUCAUAACUUGGGUCUUCUUCCUGAUAGGUAUUAUAACUUUGAAUCCAAAAUACUGCCUGAUACAAAGCCUUUGUUUAGAGCAAAACCUCAAGGAAAAGAAAGAUUGCAACAAAUAAUCUGGGAAUCUCAGAGCAUUCACAGAUGUGGCAGGGAGCAUCCACUACCUCCAUGGAAAAUGUUUUUACAAUAAGUGUGUGAUGUCUGCUGGGUAGCACUAAGGCACAGCUCCAUCUCCUGACCUAAACAGUCUCUGGUUGGAGGGGUAGAGGUCUUGGAAGAGCUUCUUUGUGCCCUCUCUGGUCUGGCAUCCUUCACCUUCCACAUUGCCUGAGUAAGUAUGGUGGAGGGUCUUUACACUUGGUGUUGUUGCUGUGGAUGUUGGAAUACAAAUUCUG
rnacentral:lncRNA from 11 species